AGGAAGUAAAAGUCGUAACAAGGUCUCCGUUGGUGAACCAGCGGAGGGAUCAUUACCGAGUUAUCCAACUCCCAACCCCUGUGAAUUAUACCUUUAAUUGUUGCUUCGGCGGGACUUCGCGCCCGCCGGGGACCCAAACCUUCUGAAUUUUUUAAUAAGUAUCUUCUGAGUGGUUAAAAAAAAUGAAUCAAAACUUUCAACAACGGAUCUCUUGGUUCUGGCAUCGAUGAAGAACGCAGCGAAAUGCGAUAAGUAAUGUGAAUUGCAGAAUUCAGUGAAUCAUCGAAUCUUUGAACGCACAUUGCGCCCGUCAGUAUUCUGGCGGGCAUGCCUGUUCGAGCGUCAUUACGCCCCUCAAGUCCCCUGUGGACUUGGUGUUGGGGAUCGGCGAGGCUGGUUUUCCAGCACAGCCGUCCCUUAAAUUGAUUGGCGGUCUCGCCGUGGCCCUCCUCUGCGCAGUAGUAAAACACUCGCAACAGGAGCCCGGCGCGGUCCACUGCCGUAAAACCCCCCAACUUUUUAUAGUUGACCUCGAAUCAGGUAGGACUACCCGCUGAACUUAAGCAUAUC
rnacentral:rRNA from 1 species